GACAUGAAAACAUAAAUUGUAUUAAUUGAAAGUAAAAUUAACAAAGAGUGUUCAUAACAUAAAAAUGACAAAAUAAAGGAAAUAACAAGAGAAAUAAAGAAGGUAAAGACAAGAAAGCAUGAAAACAUAAAGGAAACUACAUUAAAACAAGAAUUAAAGUGCUGAAAUUAAAAGAAAACUAAGCUAAAAACCCUAAUUUUAAAGAGAGGGGGAGCUUCUCUCUCUAGAAAACUAAAGCAAAAACAUAGAAAACCUAAGCCUAAUUGCUCCCCUUCAUUCAGCUUCACUUUGGCCUCAUAUAGCUCCAGAAAUGAGUUGGACUAGGUUCUGGAGGCCCAAAAAUUGCCCCUAGCGAUUUGCAUUAAUGAGCUAACAUAAUUCGGGUCACGCAUACGCGUCCCUGCGCAAAAAUCCAUCCACGCUACGCGUCGCUUGCAAAUCCUCGUUGUGCGUGCGCACACAUACUUGUACGUACGCACAGGUGCUGAAACUUCCAAACUCCAUUUCUUCAUGGUUUCUUCCCUUUUGCAUGCUCUUUCCUUCACUCCUUCAACCCAUACUUGCCUUGGAAACCUGAAAUCACUUAACAAAUACAUCAAGACACCAAAUGGGAUUAAAGUGAAUCAAAAUUGACUAAAUUAAGUACAAAAGAGCAUGUUUUCACUUUCAAGCACAAUUUAGGAAGGAAUCUCAAAAGCAUGCUAUUUAGAUGAAUAAAUGUGGGUUUGUGUGAUAAAAUCCACCCAAAUUAAAGCAAAAUAUAUCGUAAAAUAUGGACUCAUCAAUUCCCCCACACAACACAACCAAAGGGGUAAACAUUUUAUUUAAUGCAACUACUUAUAUGUAUGCAGCUAUACUAAAUGCUAACUAUCUAUAUCUACAAUAUGCUUCCUAUUGAGUUUGGUAGAAUUUCAAUCAAUCCAAAGUAAAAACUUAGGGCCAAGAAACUCUAGACGUUCAGUGUGAUGCCUCUCGACCUGCAUAUGAAAAACGACAACAUAUGAAUGGAAUGAGAACCGAAGGUUCUCAGCAUGGUAAUGGUGCCCAAAUAAAUAAUAAAUAAGGUUCCAAAAAAGUUAGAGGCAAUCCUAGAACUCUGACACUCAGAUUAAAAUUUAAAGUUAUAAUUUAAAACCAUAACAAGGUAAUCUAUCUAGGGUCCUUAGGUUCUAUUAAUGUAUAAACUAAUAGUACCAGAGAUCCAAUUGAUCCCACAAGCAAGCCAGAAUAAGACAACUAGCACAAUCACAGAGAAAAUACAACAAGCAAAACACAACCAAAUGUAAAUAUGCAAACAAUAUGAUGCAUGCCUGUCCUAAGCAGGCCAUGAGCUCAUGCGUCGGUUGUCUACUCGUAACCCGACGUUACUCCGGGCGAACCCCGAAUAUGGCUCCUUUACCGUGUCAGUCAGGCACAAUUAUCAUCAUGGGCAAACCCAUGUCAGUCAGGAUAUCUUGGCAUCAUGGUAAGAACAGGCUAUCAGUUAGGCGAACCUUCCCGCAUUAGCAACUUUAGGCUAUCAGUUAGGCGGGCACUUUCGCAUUAGCAACCAUAGGCUAUCAGUUAGACGGACAUUCCCGCAUUAGCAACCUUUGGCUAUCAGUUAGGUGAGCACUUCCGCAUUAGCACUUUGGCACAAGGUCUGUUCAAACAUGCACUAUUCAAUUAUGCUUUCAUUUCUCGUUUCUCAUUUCUUUUCUUUUUGUCAUACCUCUGCAUCACCAAAUAAAUAUGCAUACCUCCGCAUCGCCAUGUUACUAAGCAUACUUCCGCAUCACCAAAUAAUCAAUCACUCUUACCUCCACAUCACCUCAUAGGUAUAUUUUCAAUCUUAGCAUUAAAACCUUUAAUCUCCAAAUACCCAAAUUUCUUUAAUAUUAAAUCAAGAUAAAAAGUCAUUUUCUUAAUAAAUCAAACUCAAUUCCCAACUUAAAACAAAAUCUUUUCUCAAUAGAUUGAACUUAAAACAUUAUACUUUUCUUAAUCAAUCGAACUGAAAACAAGAAUCUUUUCUUAAUAAAUCAAAAUCAAUUAAUACGAUUCUUAAAUCAAAAUUUCUUUUAAAUAAUGCUUUAACCAAGCCUCGGAGUUUUAUAAAAUUUUCUACAGCAUUUUCUCUAAAAUUCGGACUUUGCCACCCUUCAAGGGUCCCUACCAAACUAUCUUCAAUUCUCAAAAAUCCUUCUUGAUAAUUCAAACAAAUCAAAUUUAAUAUUAUAAAUCCAUUUUCAAUUCUUAAAAAUCACUUCCAAUAAAUUAUUUUUUUAAUAUAAAAACCCUUUUUUCAAUUAUGAGUAAAUAUGUAAACCAAAUCUUUUUCUAACAUAGAGUUAUUUCUCAAAAUAAGUUUGUAAAUCAGGUUUCCAAAAUAAAAUCACUUUUUUGUAUAUUUUUACAAAAACUUAGUAGAACCUCUCCUUAAAAUAGACUUCACCACCUUCACGGCUCCCUCACUUUUAUCAUUCCUUAACUUAUCUCAAUCCAUACAUUAUUCUCAAUUUUUACAUCAUUUUAUCAAAACAUACACAUAAUUUAUUCACAACAACCACAAUUUUGACAAUUCUCAUCACAACCAGCUAUAAAUCAGAAUCUUUAACAUUCUCAAAUAUUCAAAAAAUCAAAUAUAUAUUCAUCAAAUUCAAUUAUUUCCACAGUCACCAAUUCAAUACAAAUUCGUCAUUCAACCAUUUCAGGCAGUCAUAAAUUAUUUGCAAUUACUCAUUAAACUUUUGAGCAUUCAUGAAUUAAAAACUUAUAAUUUAAAAACGAACCCCUACCUCCGUAUGAAAUCAAAAUCAAUGAAGAUUUUGGAGAAACUUUUUGACUGAGUCGCUGAAGAAGAAAAUGUCAAAAAUUGUCUGUACCUCGUAAAACUCCAAUUAGGCGAACUCAAGGAAAAGAGGGGCUACGUCACCGUCAACUUCUACCGAACAAAAGUGACACCAACACGUAGAGGAAAAAGAUACAAACAUUUUUAUCGAAUUAGAUUUUUUAUUGGAGUUACGGAUCGCAAGAAAUCAAAGUCGGAAGCUUAGAGGGUUUCAUGGUUUCCUCUCUCUCUAUCCCACGGUCAUUUCUCUCUCUUUCUUUUCUUUCAAUCUUGGCCAAAAAGAUAAGAAUGAAUAUUAGAUGAUGAUGAUUAAUGAAUGGUUGCAAGGUAUCACAAUUAUUAAGUAAAGGAACAUGUAACCAUU
rnacentral:lncRNA from 1 species